GUGUGCAGAGCACACUAUUAAGCACUUGGAAACUGGGUUUUUUUGUAGCAGCUGGGGUAAAAAGUUUGUCAGGAACAUGACAACUAAUGGUGAGAUAAAUUGUGGGGAUUGUGAAUUAGUAUAGUGAAAUAUAAUUUUAUAUAGCAUUUUUUAGCAAAUUAUGAUUAGAAUGAUCAAGGGGUAUACCGAUUAGUUAUUUUACAAUGGCGAUUAUUAGUUAUUUUACAAUGGCGAUUAUCUAUGAAUUUCAUUUGUCCAUGUGCUCCCUGUUCCCCAUUAACACAAAGAAUUGGCUGUGGGUAGAAAAGAACUGCAAAGCCCACAAAAAAUUACCAUACUCUAGAAACACUGAGCGAGUUAGAUGAAAUCAAUGGAAUUGUCUGGUCCAAAGAGUUCUUUGUGUGGGCAAACCGGGUUAUUUUAAGGAAAGUGAUUCACAGAAAGAGCAUAGGGCAAACAGAAGAGAGUGACUUUUAACCUCGGCACCACCACGUACUUGCAUUUGAGUUUGCUCCUUUGUAAAAUGGGACAGUAAAAUGAUUCUUGUCCUCUCCUUGUGGUACAGGGAUAUUGUAAGGAAGGAGGAGACCAUCUGGCGAUGAAGCACUUAAAUUGUUUUGAACUUCUCUGAAGAGAGAUGUUGGUUUUGUCAAUAAUGAGGAAAUCCCUAAUUCUUCAAAGGAAUGACUGAAGAAUCUAUUUGGGGCAUAGGAACAAAAAUAAAAGUGUACACAUGCACGCUAUUAGACUGUAAAAUCA